rnacentral:tRNA from 1 species
GGGGAUUUAGUUCAGUGGUAGAGUGCUUGCCUAGCAAGCACAAGGCCCUGGGUUCGGUCCCCAGCUCCA